UAAGGAAUAUUGGACAAUGGACGCAAGUCUGAUCCAGCCAUGCCGCGUGAAGGAUGAAUGCCCUCUGGGUUGUAAACUUCUUUUACAGGGGAAGAAAGUUAUCUUUUUUAGGAUAUUUGACGGUACCCUAUGAAUAAGCACCGGCUAACUCCGUGCCAGCAGCCGCGGUAAUACGGAGGGUGCAAGCGUUAUCCGGAUUCACUGGGUUUAAAGGGUGCGUAGGCGGGUAUGUAAGUCAGUGGUGAAAUACCGGAGCUUAACUUCGGAACUGCCAUUGAUACUAUAUAUCUUGAAUAUUGUGGAGGUAAGCGGAAUAUGUCAUGUAACGGUGAAAUGCUUAGAGAUGACAUAGAACACCGAUUGCGAAGGCAGCUUGCUACGCAAAUAUUGACGCUGAGGCACGAAAGCGUGGGGAUCAAACAGG
rnacentral:rRNA from 1 species